UUGGAUGUGGUGUAGUGGUAACACGGCCCUUCUUCCUAUCCAAGAAAUGAUAAAAUGGCGGGCAGCUCAGGGUUCGAUUCCUUGCAUCUAAA